rnacentral:rRNA from 1 species
GGCGGACGGGUGAGGAAUACAUCGGAAUCUACUCUGUCGUGGGGGAGUAACGUAGGGAAACUUACGCUAAUACCGCAUACGACCUACGGGUGAAAGCAGGGGAUCUUCGGACCUUGCGCGAUUGAAUGAGCCGAUGUCGGAUUAGCUAGUUGGCGGGGUAAAGGCCCACCAAGGCGACGAUCCGUAGCUGGUCUGAGAGGAUGAUCAGCCACACUGGAACUGAGACACGGUCCAGACUCCUACGGGAGGCAGCAGUA